rnacentral:lncRNA from 1 species
GCAGAAUAUGAGGGAAAUUUGAAGGGAAUCCUUGGUUACACUAAUGAUGAUGUGAUAUCAAGUGAUUUUGUGGGAGACUUCAUGUCACACCCCAAAUUCUGGGCAACCCAAAAUUUGGCCUAUGACCCCAGGUCAAAGGUUUGACCCUAAGGGUUCCUCCUAAUACACGUUCUGAAAUUAUUUUUAUUUUUCUACGCAUAAUCACACUAAAGCUCCCUCCAAUUAACAAUUCAAUUUAUCAACAUACUAACCACUACUCAAGAGCAAUUAUAUAUAAUAAUGAUCAUUAAAAUCUAGAAAUAAGAGUUCACAAUUGAACAAAUUAAUCAAAAUAAAGUCUCAUUACAAAAAUAUAGUUUCAAAGUUUGCUAAUACAAGUCCCAAAAUAGCCAACAUAACAAAUACACUACAAUUCGAUAGGCUGCUCCAAGAUCUCCUAGGGCAUCUUAAAGUCCUCCUUACCUCACCUAUGGAUCCUCAGGAGUUACAUCUACAUCUAAAAAGAUGUAAAAAGAAAGGGGUGAGCAUUCCACAUUGCUUAGUAGGAUGUCUUACAUAGGGUGUCUUACACCUAAGGGGUUAAUUGGAAUACUAAGUUCCAAGUGAAUACAAAAGAAACAUUCGACCAGCAUUGGUCAACCCACAUAUUUUAAUUUCUAUAAUUAUAACAAUUCCACAAUUUUCAACAAUUAAAUAAAAUGCAUAUAAAUAUGUGACACACACACUCAUACAAUGCAUUGUCGUUCUCGGGCUUUCAUUGAAUGAUACACGUUCGUACCCAAAUACACUCCCCAUUUGAAGUCUUAUUUUUGGGUCUUUCACCCUUGGGAUCUUUCUCUCUUCUUAAUUUGUCACACAUGAGCCUUUACUGUUCAUUAGUAUUUCAUUUUUCUUCUUUUUUUCAUUUCAUGCACUUUUCUCAAUUUUUAUUUUUUCCUUCACACAACCAUGAUGCAAAUGAAAUGCACUGAGGUCAAUUAUAUUAUUCGCAAAUAUCACAAUAUCAAAUAAAAAUUUUCAACUAGUCUAAAUAUUAUUGAAAUUACAAUCAUACCACAAUUUCAUAAUUUUUCAACAAUCCCAAUAAUUCAAAUAAUCAAAUAUAAUUAUUUUCUCCAUAAUAAAAUUAUCAAAAACAAUAAAAUAAAUUUCCAACAAUUCAAAUCUCAAUUAAACAUAAUUUAUAGCAAAAUUCCAUAAUUUUCUAACAACACCAAUACUCCAAUAAUCAAAUAUAAUUAUCUUUCCACAAUAAAAUUGUCAAAAAUAUUCCAAUAAAUUAUCAAAAAAUCCACAUAUUAAUAAAUUAUAAUUUAUACGACAAUUUCAUUUAUUCUCAACAAUUCCAUUAAUUUUAACAACCCAAAUGCAAUCAUUUAUCGAUCAAAAAAAAAAAAAAAUUCGUCAGCACCAAAUUUUCAAAAAUAUUCCCAAAUCAUCUAAUCAAAUUUCCUAUAUCACAAAUAUUACCUAUUUAUCUCCUAACAACAAAAUUUAUAAUCUUUUUCAAGAAAAAAAAUAUUUAAUUAAAGUUUUAGGGUUAAGUUUCCUUACCACAGUUCUACCAAUUGGAC